CGACCGGCGCACGGGUGCGUAACGCGUAUGCAACCUACCUUAACAGGGGAUAACACUGAGAAAUUGGUACUAAUACCCCAUAAUAUCAUAGAAGGCAUCUUUUAUGGUUGAAAAUUCCGAUGGUUAGAGAUGGGCAUGCGUUGUAUUAGCUAGUUGGUGGGGUAACGGCUCACCAAGGCGACGAUACAUAGGGGGACUGAGAGGUUAACCCCCCACACUGGUACUGAGACACGGACCAG
rnacentral:rRNA from 1 species